UGGGGAAUAUUGGACAAUGGGGGCAACCCUGAUCCAGCGAUGCCGCGUGAGUGAAGAAGGCCUUCGGGUCGUAAAGCUCUUUAGGUUGGGAAGAAGCAUAUUAGGUGCAUAGCCUAGUAUGUUGACGGUACCGACAGAAUAAGCACCGGCAAACUCUGUGCCAGCAGCCGCGGUAAUACAGAGGGUGCGAGCGUUAAUCGGAUUUACUGGGCGUAAAGGGCGCGUAGGCGGUGAGAUGUGUGUGAUGUGAAAGCCCCGGGCUUAACCUGGGAAGUGCAUCGCAAACUAUUUGACUAGAGUAUAUGAGAGGGUGGCGGAAUUUCCGGUGUAGCGGUGAAAUGCGUAGAGAUCGGAAGGAACGUCAAUGGCGAAGGCAGCCACCUGGCAUAAUACUGACGCUGAGGCGCGAAAGCGUGGGGAGCGAACAGGAUUAGAUACCCCCGUAGUCC
rnacentral:rRNA from 1 species